GCAUAUCGGUGCGACUCAAGUGCAUCAAAUUCAAAAAGAAGAAUAACGGUGUGAAUAAAUUUCAAAUACCCGAUUCAUCCAUUAAGAACCGCGGGAUUGGGCCUAAUAAUAACUGGACCCAAGUUGAAUUACAUUUUAGGCCCAUCAAUGAUCCCACGUCUUUAGGGUUUACUAUAUAAUUGAUCUAAACCCUAUUAGCAUCUUCUUUCAUCACUGCCGCAUUUGAUAUUCUCUCCCUGAGAAGUGAAGAAAACUCUCCGGUCAUCACCAAUUCAGAAUGAGAGCUAAGUGGAAGAAGAAGCGUAUGAGGAGGUUGAAGAGGAAGCGCCGAAAGAUGAGACAGAGAUCGAAGUAGAACCACAUUCCGCAGUUCUCAACGGUUUAUCUAUGCUUAUCGUCUUCUUUAGGUUUAUUGUGUUUAAAUUUUAGUUUGAAACUCUAGUAACAUUUUGAGUUGUUAUCUUGUUCUAAUUACACCGAAUUCAAAUUUUAUUAUCCGAUUUUGGCUAUGGAUUUACGCUUCGUA